UACGAAGGGGGCUAGCGUUGUUCGGAAUCACUGGGCGUAAAGCGCACGUAGGCGGAUCUUUAAGUCAGGGGUGAAAUCCCGGGGCUCAACCUCGGAACUGCCUUUGAUACUGGGGAUCUCGAGUCCGGGAGAGGUGAGUGGAAUUGCGAGUGUAGAGGUGAAAUUCGUAGAUAUUCGGAAGAACACCAGUGGCGAAGGCGGCUCACUGGCCCGUUACCGACGCUCAGGCGCGACAGCGUGGGGAGCAAACAGG
rnacentral:rRNA from 1 species